CACGCCGUAAACGAUGGGUGCUGGGUGUCGCGGGUAUUGACCCCCGCGGUGCCGUAGCUAACGCGUUAAGCACCCCGCCUGGGAAGUACGGCCGCAAGGCUAAAACUCAAAGGAAUUGACGGGGGCCCGCACAAGCAGUGGAGCAUGUGGUUUAAUUCGACGCAACGCGCAGAACCUUACCCGGGCUAGAAAAGCACGGAACCCGGUAGAAAUACUGGGGUGCCCGCAAGGGAACCGUGAUCCAGGUGC
rnacentral:rRNA from 1 species